AUUGAACGCUGGCGGCAGGCCUAACACAUGCAAGUCGAGCGGAUGAAGGGAGCUUGCUCCUGGAUUCAGCGGCGGACGGGUGAGUAAUGCCUAGGAAUCUGCCUGGUAGUGGGGGAUAACGUCCGGAAACGGGCGCUAAUACCGCAUACGUCCUGAGGGAGAAAGUGGGGGAUCUUCGGACCUCACGCUAUCAGAUGAGCCUAGGUCGGAUUAGCUAGUUGGUGAGGUAAAGGCCUACCAAGGCGACGAUCCGUAACUGGUCUGAGAGGAUGAUCAGUCACACUGGAACUGAGACACGGUCCAGACUCCUACGGGAGGCAGCAGUGGGGAAUAUUGGACAAAGGGCGAAAGCCUGAUCCAGCCAUGCCGCGUGUGUGAAGAAGGUCUUCGGAUUGUAAAGCACUUUAAGUUGGGAGGAAGGGCAGUAAGUUAAUACCUUGCUGUUUUGACGUUACCAACAGAAUAAGCACCGGCUAACUUCGUG
rnacentral:rRNA from 1 species